UGACCUCAAAUCGGGUGAGACUACCC
rnacentral:rRNA from 1 species